UACGAAGGGGGCAAGCGUUGUCCGGAUUCAUUGGGCGUAAAGAGCGUGUAGGCGGCCAGGUAGGUCGGUUGUGAAAACUGGAGGCUCAACCUUCAGAGGUCGACCGAAACCAUCUGGCUAGAGUCCGGGAGAGGAGAGUGGAAUUCCUGGUGUAGCGGUGAAAUGCGCAGAUAUCAGGAAGAACACCCGUGGCGAAAGCGGCUCUCUGGAACGGAUCUGACGCUGAGGCGCGAAAGCGUGGGGAGCAAACAGG
rnacentral:rRNA from 1 species